rnacentral:tRNA from 1 species
GGGGGGAUGCCCGAGCGGCCAAAGGGACCGGACUGUAAAUUCGGCGGCGCAGCCUACGGAGGUUCGAAUCCUCCUCCCCCCA